GAUGAACGCUGGCGGCGUGCCUAAUACAUGCAAGUCGAGCGAACGGACGAGAAGCUUGCUUUUCUGAUGUUAGCGGCGGACGGGUGAGUAACACGUGGAUAACCUACCUAUAAGACUGGGAUAACUUCGGGAAACCGGAGCUAAUACCGGAUAAUAUUUUGAACCGCAUGGUUCAAAAGUGAAAGACGGUCUUGCUGUCACUUAUAGAUGGAUCCGCGCUGCAUUAGCUAGUUGGUAAGGUAACGGCUUACCAAGGCAACGAUGCAUAGCCGACCUGAGAGGGGGAUGGACCACACGGGAAGUGAACCGGGUCCCGGCCUCAUAGGGGGGGAGGAAGGGGGAAUUCUUCCGAAGGGGGCAAAGGCCUGAGGGAGCAACGCGGGGGGAGUAAGAAGGUUCUUCGGAUCGAAAAACUUUUUUAUAAGGAAAAAAAAUAUGUGAAAGAAACUGUGCACAUCUGGAGGGAACCUAAUCAAAAAGCCCGGGAAAACUAGGGG
rnacentral:rRNA from 1 species